rnacentral:misc_RNA from 1 species
AAGUAACUUCAUUUAAGCAAAUUGGAAAUCCAUACAAACGUGGAAUGAACAAUGUAUGCCUUUUCUCGAUGAAGCCAGCCAAAUAUGGUAGAGAAAACAAUCACACCCACAAUGGAAUUUAAAAGAAUCAACUAUGAACAUUGAUUAAUGAUCAACAGAAUCCUCACUUUUCAAACAAAGAACCAAUUAAAAACCGAAAGAGCUUAAAUUCUUCCCAAUGAGAACCGUCUAGGCAUUGAAACUGGACGCUGUUUCAAUCCACUCAUUAAACCAUCACUCUUCUGUAUACUUUUCCUGCUUUUCAACGAAGAAACCAAUCUGUUGGCCAAUCUUGAAGGAGAAAAUGACACGCAAUUUAGAAGCAGUGGACACCAUUGGUGAUUUCUUGCUCAAGUUUGCAGCUCUAUUCGGUGACAGGGAAACCGCUGGUGGGCUCUUGAUUUUCACCUGAAACUUGGAAGCCGAUGUCGGGGACUUUAUCAAGAACUUAUGUGGAGAGUUCAGUUCUUUUCUAGAAAUCUGUGGAGUGUUCUGUUUAUUUCUAGAAAUCACUGGAGACCUUGUACUGCAGAACUUCUGCAGCUGAUUAGAACCUGUAGAAAGAAACAAAGGGUUUGAAAACAGUAUAGUCUUUUUAGCCCAUGGCUUAUUCCUGGGAGACACUCUAUUUGCCAAAUAUUUUCUAGAAUUUUCUUUCUCUGUUUCUCUCUUCUUUGGAGGUGAAACCAUCUUAAAGUUAAUGCGUGAUCAAGCUCUUUGAAGAGAUGAAGAAGUGGUUUGCGAUCGUAUGGAUUGCAGUUUAUCUUGCUUUCCCUUCUUUCUUUUGGAAUUGAGUUCAGUGUUUUCAGGGUUCGGCCUCUGUUUCCUCAGUUGGGUCAAUGGAGUUUUAAUAUCUUCUAGGGUGGUUUUACAGGCAACUGCAGGGACAAUUUCUCUUGCAAAUUGGCUGGCUUGCAGAAUUUCUCCCACAGUUUCUCCUACCAGCAUAGCUGGUAAUGACAUACGCCGCCAUUCUCCUAUUAGACUUGCUGUCAACUUUCCCACAGGAGAUUUCCUAGGGGUAGCACUUUUGAUCCUUCAAAUUUGCCAGUAAAAUGGUUAGUACAGAAAAGCUAAACCUUUUUUUUUUAGCACAACCUGAAUAAAUGCAAAACCCAUAAUUGAUUUUACCUUAGAGAUUCUUGCCUGCACCUGAGACUAGCUCUUAGAUAACCACUGGUAUUUCUAGGACUCAGGCUAACCCAGAUAUCACCUUAUUUCCUCCCGCCACUGUGUAUUGA